rnacentral:rRNA from 1 species
AAGUCGUAACAAGGUGGCCGUAGGGGAACCUGCGGCCGGAUCACCUCCUAAGAAAACAAGCUU